rnacentral:rRNA from 1 species
GAUGAAAGCUGACCGCAUGCUUCACACAGAAUAAAUGAUUGGGUGGCGGACGGGUGAGUAACGCGUACAGAACUUGCCUCACAGCUAGGGACAACAUUUGGAAACGAAUGCUAAUACCUAAUACUGUGAGAGAGCUUUGCGUCCCAUUAGCUAGUUGGAGAGGUAACGGCUCACCAAGGCGAUGAUGGGUAGCCGGCCUGAGAGGGUGAUCGGCCACAAGGGGACUGGGGCACGGCCCUUACUCCUAAGGGAGGCAGAUGUGGGGAUUAGUGGACAACGGACCAAAGACUGUUCCAUCAGUUCGGGGCGUACGAUGAAGUUUGAGGAAUAGAAAGUGAUCUUGGUUGAGGAGCGGAGCCGACAGAUGAAAUGACGGCAAGCUACGUGCCAGCAGCCGCGGUAAUAC